rnacentral:rRNA from 1 species
GACGAACGCUGGCGGCGUGCUUAACACAUGCAAGUCGAACGAAGAGCGAUGGAAGCUUGCUUCUAUCAAUCUUAGUGGCGAACGGGUGAGUAACGCGUAAUCAACCUGCCCUUCAGAGGGGGACAACAGUUGGAAACGACUGCUAAUACCGCAUACGAUCUAAUCUCGGCAUCGAGGAUAGAUGAAAGGUGGCCUCUACAUGUAAGCUAUCACUGAAGGAGGGGAUUGCGUCUGAUUAGCUAGUUGGAGGGGUAACGGCCCACCAAGGCGAUGAUCAGUAGCCGGUCUGAGAGGAUGGACGGCCACAUUGGGACUGAGACACGGCCCAGACUCCUACGGGAGGCAGCAGUGGGGAAUCUUCCGCAAUGGACGAAAGUCUGACGGAGCAACGCCGCGUGAGCGAUGACGGCCUUCGGGUUGUAAAGCUCUGUUAAUCGGGACGAAAGGCCUUCUUGCGAAUAGUGAGAAGGAUUGACGGUACCGGAAUAGAAAGCCACGGCUAACUACGUG